ensembl:lncRNA
GAGAUUCAAAGUGAGUUUAAUCAUUUAAUUCAUAACAUUUUGUAGGAAUAGCAGGGAUUAUUACUCUGAUUAUGUAUGUUUUUACAGGACGUAAAACACAAAUGGAGGAAGUUGUUCACAAUCGUGAUACAAAUUAAACAAAAACCUUUGCAACACAUCUUUAAAAAACUGAACUCCAUAUUAAGAUGUAAGGCAGACUAACUAGGUAUUGAUCACAGCCUGUAGACUAACUAGGUAUUGAUCAGUCUGUAGACUAACUAGGUAUUGAUCACAGCCUGUAGACUAACUAGGUAUUGAUCACAGCCUGUAGACUAACUAGGUAUUGAUCAGUCUGCAGAC